rnacentral:rRNA from 1 species
UUUGAAAUCUGGCUCCCAGCGGGCCCGAGUUGUAAUUUGCAGAGGAAGCUUUAGGCGCGGCGCCUUCCGAGUUCCCUGGAACGGGACGCCGGAGAGGGUGAGAGCCCCGUACGGUUGGAUGCCUAGCCUAUGUACAGCUCCUUCGACGAGUCGAGUAGUUUGGGAAUGCUGCUCUAAAUGGGAGGUAAAUUUCUUCUAAAGCUAAAUACCGGCCAGAGACCGAUAGCGCACAAGUAGAGUGAUCGAAAGAUGAAAAGCACUUUGAAAAGAGGGUUAAAAAGCACGUGAAAUUGUUGAAAGGGAAGCGUUUACGUCCAGAGCUAGGUUAUACGGCGGAUCCCGCGGCGCUCUUACGCGCUGGCGGUACUGCGCCGGCCUAGGCCAGCAUCGGUCUUCUUAGGGGGAUAAAGGCCUGGGGAACGUAGCUCUCUAGGGAGUGUUAUAGCCCCUCGCGUAAUACCCCUCGGGGGACCGAGGACCGCGCAUUCGCAAGGAUGCUGGCGUAAUGGAGGUCAACGACCCGUCUUGAAACACGGACCAAGGAGUCGAACAUUUGUGCGAGUGUUUGGGUGUCAAACCCUGACGCGUAAUGAAAGUGAACGGAGGUGAGAGCCCCCCCCGGGGGCGCAUCAUCGACCGAUCCUGAUGUCUUCGGAUGGAUUUGAGUAAGAGCAUGGCUGUUCGGACCCGAAAGAUGGUGAACUAUGCGUGGAUAGGGUGAAGCCAGAGGAAACUCUGGUGGAGGCUCGCAGCGGUUCUGACGUGCAAAUCGAUCGUCAA